rnacentral:lncRNA from 1 species
AGGAACUUCUGUCUGGGGCCUGGGGCCUGAGUACACAGGCUGUCCAUCUCCUGGACAAGCACCACACUAUUUAUACUACCUUGCUGGGCUUCUUGACCUCCCAAAACCCUUGGCUGCGAGGGCAAAAUGGACUCGGGUUCAAAAGCAACCUCCUCCAGGCCGUAAUCACCUGGAAGCUCAUGCAAUAGAUGGACGAUGGAUUACAACCCCCAGCACUUCCUACCCGGACCACAAUAUCCAGUACACCCCGCGCACACUGCAGGCGAAAUCGAUGCGAGGCGUGCCGAGAACCUUAAACCUGCCUCAAGCCGACCAGACCCGGGAAAAGAGGAAAGACCACUACUCCCGGAAACGCCCCGCGCCGGCGGCGAGUUGCUCCCGCGCGGGGCCUGUCGGGAAUUGUAGUUCUGGUACCCCCGUCCGCCAUCGGUCCGCACCUCUGCGAGUGGUGAGCCAGGCGAAGGUGCCACAGCGCGCGGCCCAGGCGCUGUUGCUGCAGGAGGAGCUGGCCCGGGGGCUCCCCGGCGCCUCCGUUGGUCGGCGAGCGUAGACCCAUGUUCUCGAAGUAGUGCGCCAAGAAGGCGAUGGGCUCCUCGGGCCGGAUCUCCAGCACCUUUAGGAGGGCUGCGCGCAGCAUCUCCGUCACGCCGAGCUGCCGUAGGAAGUCCUCCUCGCUCUCAGCGGCCGCCGCCGCCUGAGACACCGACGUCCGGCCACUGUCCGGGAAAUUGGCCGCUGGUGCUACUGCCGGCCGCCGUUUCUCCACUGCCGCCAUCUUUGUUGGGGGCAGCGGGACCGGAAGCGCCGCCAUAAUUCACGGCGCGAUGAGGCGCCUUCCCUCGACGACCAUUUUUGUUAAGGGCAGAGGCAGCGGCCCCCCUCUCUGAGAAUCUCGAUAGUAACAAGCGCAAGCGACCUUUUCCCCCUGUGCCCCUGGCUUUCUCUGUGUGCGUUUUCCUGCUACUCCAUGACUGCAUCUUCUAGCUUCGGUCUGGAAUUGUGAGCUUGCCAGACUUCAAAAUGGUCCCCCAGGAAGGGCUUGGUUUCUGGCUUGAAGCGCGAUACCUUGCCAUCUUGGUAGUGGGCAAGUCUUCCUAAGCAUGGUCUCCUAGCAACCAGGCACCCUGGGUACCAGAUAAACCCCGCAAAGCUCACCAGGAAUCUAGGGCUGAAAGCGGAGUUCAAACCGUUUUCUGCGUUUGCUCCCAGACUCGGCCUGGGCUCUCCCGGGUUUUUGGCCUCACUUAGUCUCCUUCCGAGCGUUAAGGUGCCUGAGCGGAGUUGUCACCAGAUUCCUUCCUUUCCCAGACUGUUACCAUUUCUGACCACCAGAGGGGGGUGCUCUCUUUGCAAUUCUGAACUGCUGUGGCUUUCUAGUAUCCUCGCAUGUCCCUUUUCUGUGUUAUCUUUGGCUCUUUAUCUACUGACAUACUUUUUAUUCCCUUGUCUGGCAUCCAUACCGCUCUUCGUGUUUUCCCAGGUUACCCCCCAAGUACUUUUUCUAAGCCACUGGAUAUCUCCUUAGUUACUCUUGUUAAAUGCAGGCAUUUCCCAGCCUAGUAUCCUGUUGCUCGACCUACCAAAGAAAACUGGGAUGUGUGACUGUCUCCAGGGACUCUGGCUGUAGGGAUAGGUGAUGUACAAAGCCUUCCUAUUCACAGUACGAAAGAAUAUGCCAGUGGCUAGAUACGGGGCUUUUAUUUAGCUCUGGGCCAGCAGGCAGAAAAGCCCAGAAGUCAGGAGAAACUUAUAGAUGUGCUGACCACCAAGGAAAGAGGCCACACUAUCAUCUUGAUGCCCCAAAUCCUGCAGCUGGUCACUCUCUGCCUCCUUUAGUCUGGCAUAAUGGAGCUUCAUAGGUGUGUACAUGAGCUAGUGUCUGGGCGAGGACCUGGCCGGUAGCAUUUCCACAGGCGGUAGGCAAGGAAGACCAGUGCAAGCAGCCCCAGCACCAAGCUGCCAAUCCAUAGGACGACGGUGGAGGCUGAAAGAGUAGGAAGAGAAAGGCUGCCAUCAGUCCCAGUGCCUGUGGGCUCCACAGAGGGAACAUACAUAGGCCCUUACAGUUUAAAAGUGGACUUAACUAGCCAGCCUCUACUUGGGUAGAAAACAGCCACCCAACCAGACAUACUCAAAGACAGCAUGGAAGAAUGAAUCUACUUAAAGGGAAGCUUUUGUUUCUAAAUUACGGUCUCACUCUGUAGCUUAGGCUGACAUUGACCCUUCUUCUUCUACAGCUCAAGUACUUAGAUCAUAGCUUGUGUGCCAUCGUGCCCAGCUUAGUUCUGUUUUGUUUUGUUUUGUUUUGUUUUGUUUUGUUUUUUGUCUGUUUUGUUUUGAUUUUUUGAGACAAGAGUCUUCUAUGUAAUCCUGGCUGUCUGUCCUGGAACUUGCUCUGUAGACCAGGAUGUCCUUGAACUUAGAGAUACACCUGCCUCUGAGAUUAAAGGUAUGUGUCACCACC